GCGGUGCCUUCCGAGUUCCCUGGAACGGGACGCCUUAGAGGGUGAGAGCCCCGUACGGUUGGACACCAAGCCUCUGUAAAGCUCCUUCGACGAGUCGAGUAGUUUGGGAAUGCUGCUCUAAAUGGGAGGUAAAUUUCUUCUAAAGCUAAAUAUUGGCCAGAGACCGAUAGCGCACAAGUAGAGUGAUCGAAAGAUGAAAAGCACUUUGAAAAGAGGGUUAAAUAGCACGUGAAAUUGUUGAAAGGGAAGCGUUUGCGACCAGACCUUUUCCCGGCGGAUCAUCCGGUGUUCUCACCGGUGCACUUCGCCAGGUCGAGGCCAGCAUCGGUUUCUGUAGGGGGAUAAAAGCUCCGGGAACGUAGCUCCUCCGGGAGUGUUAUAGCCCUCUGCAUAAUACC
rnacentral:rRNA from 1 species